UCAUUCAUAAGUUCACUUAGCCAAGUGUGAUAAGUCCAUAGUCCAUUCUAAGGUUUGAUUCAAAUUUGAAUAUUUGGAGGGAUUUUACUUAUUUGAAAAGUAAGACAUUUUGCAUUGAUUUAAAGAGCAUUCUAUUCAAAUAAAGGUCCAUUCAUUUAUUCAUACCAUACUUACUCUGUUCAUUACAAAGGAAAAUAAUAAAAAAUGCAAUUUUUAUAAAGGAUGACUUUUAGUCAACUGUUGACUUCUUGGUCAACAGUUGACCAAAGUCAACCACUAAUUCCUAAAACCCUUUCCCAUUACAAGUGCAAAUACACCUUUGUGCCAACAUGCUUUGGAGUCUUGACCAAGUUACAAACCAAAUCAACCUUUGCCCAUCAUCCAAAAACCUGCAUUAAGUGUAUAUCGAUGCAUUAGUUAGCAUAGCACAACAAAUCCAACACUUCAUAAUAACCUCCAUAUAAUAAUACAAUUACAUUCAAAUUAGAUAGAUAAUCCACAUAUUAUUUCAGCAUACUAGCAGUAGAGAUAGUUUGCAAUUAACAAUCAUUCAAACCCUGCUAGAAAAGCAUUUUAGUCCAUUUCUUUUUUCAUUAACUAUCCAACAUAACUAACUAGUUGAUAAUUAAUUGUAUUUCUAACAUUUCUACCAACAUAAAAGAACCAUAUCUCCUUCAAUCAUUAACAUUCAACCUGAAACUUGCUUAACAGAACAACAGCAGGGCUGCACUGCAACUAACUGAAGUUUGGCACCUGCAGAAUUCUUCAACUCUAAUUCACAAGCUAACUUAACACUCUAACUAUAACUAAUUCAUUAACAGUAGGAGUAACUCUUAACAGAACUUUCCCUAAGUCAUUAACAGAGUUAAGAUAACUAAUUCAAGCUACCAUAACUGAUUUUAAUAGAGGUUCCAACUAACCCUAACUUCCAUCCCUAACUAACAUUCACAUUUGAUCAACACACCAACAAGUCAGUAACUGAAAUUAACCAAUUCAUAACAAACUUAAACUAACUACUAACUAAUUUCUAAUUCCAAGGUAAUUUCAAGUGAAUUUACAUUGCAAUUUAAGUGGAAUUUCUAACUAAUAUUGCCUUUUGUUUUGCAUUUCAUGAGAAUUUCUAACAACUUUGAAACUAUAUAUAAACAUACAUCAUUACAUUUUCGAAUUUGAUGAACAUUCACUCUUCACUCUCACAUUUCAUCUUCAACCUCUCUCCCUCACCCUCUCGAAACGCUUGAAAUCCUCCUAACUGAUAGAGCUUCAACCUCAUAAGCUCUAAGCAGUUGAGCUUAACCUCUGCAUAUCCUCACACGCCACAAGAACGCACACAAUCGAGAAUUCAAAAGAAUCGAGGAAGAAGAAAGAACCAAAUAGGAAGAAGGAGGGAAUUCAGAAGCUUACCUAAAGGCGCAUUCAUCUUCGCGUUCGUUCGCUUUGAGUGCAAUUUUCACCGGGACACUUUUCCGUCUCGUAGGUUGGUGAAAUUCCUCUUUCUCGGCCGUUUCUCCUUUCUAUGACGUAUUUUGUAGUUAGUGGAGCCAAACCUCUAUGUUUUGGACUCGGAAUCAAUCUUUUCUCGCGUUUAAUUCAAGAUUUGGUGAGUUAGCGUUUGUUUGAUUUCGGCUCGAUUUGGAUGUUUGAUUUAAAAUCGGAAAAAUUGGAAGUUGAUUUGUGGUAGAGGACGUUGAGCUGAUGCUAUUGAUGUAUGUUUGGACCUCCGCCUCCGCAGGAGGAAGUUCCCGGCGCGGCAUAGUCAUCGGUUCAGGUCGAUGUUUAGGAACGCGAUAGUUGAGCGUGGAGGAAAGUGAGUUUGUCUUGAGUCCGUUGCAUCCUCGUGUGUUUUGGCCAAAUCCAUUUAGGCCUCAAUCCCAAGAGAUGUUCACACCACUCCAAGUGACAUUCACACCCCCUCUAAUCAAUCAGCUAAGCGCUGGGCCUUGCCUUCCCAGGGCCAAGCGCGUUUUGUUGGCAUAAACCCCAGUUUUGGGCCUUUACCCCCA
rnacentral:lncRNA from 1 species